rnacentral:lncRNA from 1 species
GCUGAGUUCAGGCUGAAGAGUAGCCUGAAUUAUGCAGGUGUGCUUCAUGUAAUCUCAAGGGUCCUUGAACGUGGGUGAGAGAGGUGGAAGACUGAGUCAGAGAGUGAUUUGAAGACGGGAACAUUGUUUCAUUUGAAGAUGGCCGAAGGAGACCUCCAGCCACAGAAAGCAGGGGCUCCUGCAGAAGCUUGUAACUGUAGCAUCUUCUGGAUCCUCAUAGAGCUUUUCCAUUCAGCCAGAAGAUCAGGUUCUAUGCAUUCUAACCAUCAGCGUACCAGAGAGCAAAAAAGAAGAAAAAGGUAAACAUGAAAACAAAAUGCCUAUAAUCACAAAUUCAGAAUUCU